UGAGACCUCAGGUCAGGCGGGGAUACCCGCUGAAUUUAAGCAUAUCAAUAAGCGGAGGAAAAGAAACUAACAAGGAUUCC
rnacentral:rRNA from 1 species